UACGUAGGGGGCAAGCGUUGUCCGGAUUUAUUGGGCGUAAAGCGCUCGCAGGUGGUUCGUCGCGUCGUGCGUGAAAGACCCCGGCUCAACUGGGGGAGGUCGUGCGAUACGGGCGAACUGGAGGCCAGUAGGGGGAUGCGGAAUUCCGGGUGUAGUGGUGGAAUGCGUAGAGAUCCGGAGGAACACCAGCGGCGAAGGCGGCAUCCUGGACUGGUCCUGACACUCAUGAGCGAAAGCGUGGGGAGCGAGCCGG
rnacentral:rRNA from 1 species